GCAAAAGUCAUAAAACUGCCCUACCUGGUCAGUAGUGCAAAACAAAAGGUUUCUUGGGACUUAGUUAUCCGUCUCACUUAGUGUUCUGGAUACAUCGGGACUUAGUUAUCCGUCUCACUUAGUGUUCUGGAUACAUCGACAUCAUGUCUGGCCAUCCCUCCACUACUACUACGAAAGAACUUUGCCCAGUAAAGGCAGAGCCUAACAGUCUUUGUCCAGUAGUGUAGGAUCUCCUUUACCUCAUCUGGUAACACUUUCAUAGGCAUUAGAAACAUGCUCAGUGACCAGUGUCUCUUGGAUACUUUUUAAUAGUGUGGACAGGCCUUGAGAGACAGGCAAGUGGAAAUACUGACCUUGAAGAAUGACUCAAAGACAUGAGACUCUGAGCCUGCCAGAAGGAUGAAUGAAAGAAAGGUGGAGAAGGCACCAUUCAGCACUGGAGGGCCCAUUUCCUUCACUGUCACCCUCACUCUUUCAUCACGGCUUCCCUUUAUCUGUCAAAAAAGACAUAAGUGAGGUGGAUAUGAAGUGACUUCCUGCACAAUAUAAAAUCCAGUAUAUUACACAAGCUUAAAUUUUAUCUUUUCCUUACUACCUUUCAAAUAAUUACAAUAGAUGUGAUUUAGACACUAUGUUCAAUUACUAAUUGCUAGACAAGUUAUAUAAAACUGCAACUAUACAAGAAAUACUCAUAUAUCAUCACUUUACUAAGGUCUCUUUAGGCCAUUAUUUUCAGGGAAGUUGAAAGAUGAAAGAAUAAAGUCAUAGAGAUACGGAAGGAGAACAGCUGUUGGUUAAGAGUGCUGUGGUGGAGCGUGUAAGAAAGGCUUUGUCAUAUAAGUAGAGUGUGUAAAGGAGUGUGGUUAAGUAAAGAUGGAGUGAACAGUACCUACAGCAAACUGCCUACAACUGAAGAGGCAUGCAUGUCUAGUAUGGCCACAGAGGAAAGAUAAGGUGCUGGGUGACAGGUGUGGAGAAGUCAAAUGAAAAAGUUACCUAUUAUGCAAAAGUGAAUUCAGAUGAAAAAUUAUAUUGAAAAAAUAAAUAAAUAAAUAAUCAAGUGAAUGAGAAUUGUUUUAUGAGAUAUAAACAGAGCAUUAAAAAGAAAAGAUGAAACAAAAUAAUGAUUUUAAAAAGGGCAGAAAGAUGAGGAAAGCAUUUUGAGAGAAAUGCUAAGCAUAUGUAAAUGUGGAGAAAGAGAUAAAGUCUGCUAUGAAAGUUACAUUAUACUGCAGGAUUACUUGCAAGGGUUAUGAAAGGCUUAAGAUGUGAAGCAAUGUAUGUGUAUGUGAUUGAAUAUACAUGUGUUGAGUGCCUUUUCAGGAUGUUGGCUUGUUAUAUAUGCAUAAAAACAAUACCAAAAACAUACAGUGGUCCAGAUGAUACUCUUGUUCAAGAAUAUAACUAAUCCAAGUCCAAGUGUUGCUAUAUCCCUAAGACCGUAAAUCUGAGUGUAUUAGUGUUAAGUAUCACUCCACACCUGCAGGAAGUGAAGAGCGAUGUGGACAGAAUAGUCAACACACAAACCAAUGCAGAGGACCAAGUUGAUGCAGGACACUGUGUCAAUAGUGAGGCCCCACCAGGUCAUCAAAGCCAUGACAUCAACCUGCAGAGAGAGAUGUGCACAUGUAGUCUCAGAGGAAGAGCAAGACCUGAGGUUUAGCAUGUUUCAGUAUUUACCAGUGUCAGCACCACACAGAGCAGCACAUAGAUGGAGCUGAUAAGGCUGGCCAAGAGCAACAGUGUCAUCACAAACACAGCCGCCAUAGCCAAAGCCAGGUUGCGGAUAAGCUCUUCUGCAAUGAUCUUGUCUGUCUCCCAGUUGCUAUACUCAGCAGCAAUUGGGGCUGCAAAGCC